rnacentral:rRNA from 1 species
GACGAACGCUGGCGGCGUGCUUAACACAUGCAAGUCGAACGGAAAGGCCCUGCUUUUGUGGGGUGCUCGAGUGGCGAACGGGUGAGUAACACGUGAGUAACCUGCCCUUGACUUUGGGAUAACUUCAGGAAACUGGGGCUAAUACCGGAUAGGAGCUCCUGCUGCAUGGUGGGGGUUGGAAAGUUUCGGCGGUUGGGGAUGGACUCGCGGCUUAUCAGCUUGUUGGUGGGGUAGUGGCUUACCAAGGCUUUGACGGGUAGCCGGCCUGAGAGGGUGAGCGGCCACAUUGGGACUGAGAUACGGCCCAGACUCCUACGGGAGGCAGCAGUGGGGAAUAUUGCACAAUGGGCGGAAGCCUGAUGCAGCAACGCCGCGUGGGGGAUGACGGCCUUCGGGUUGUAAACCGCUUUCGCCUGUGACGAAGCGUGAGUGACGGUAAUGGGUGAAGAAGCACCGGCUAACUACGUG